CUGCAGUGGUAAAAACGUCCAGGCCCACAUGCUUCAAGAUAGAUUUUUGUUAGUGCCUUUUGAAAUGUUUUUUCCGCCACACUAACCUUGUGCUCUCCCUGUCUAGAUCCACCUGAUACUCCACCAGCCACGUCCCUUUUGACUUGAUCCUCAGCGUUCGCUGUCCUAGCUUGAUUCCCUGGGCCAUCCUUCCUAUUCCCCCCCUGCUUUGUCCACCGGAUUUCCCCGCCUGCUCCUCCCUCCCUGAGCUUAACAGUGGCUGGCCAAGAUGAACCCCUCAAACACUAAUCCGGAACCCUCAGUCCUCCACCAUGCUCUGUCAACCCAGGGCACAGUUCUCUGCCAACAUGACCAGCUAAUCCAUGCGCUAGUUGAGAGUAAUCAAUCCAUGGUUCACCACAUCUCGGAGCUAGACUGCCAGAUCUCCGCCCUGACUACAUCCACCUCUUCAACUGCCUCUCCAGCCACCUCCACUGUUGCGACACCUUGCCGGGAUUUUCCCAUUGCUGACCCCGAACCCUUCUACGGGGACGUUGAGAGGUGCCGUGGAUUCUUAUUCCAAUGCAAUAAGACAACGAGAUUCCACUACUCCAGUUUCCAGUCCACCAACUAAUUACUCUACCUCGUCAAAGGAGGAACCCAUGCAACUGGGACGAGCCCAGCUUUCCCCAGAGGAGUGGCAGCGACGGGUAAGAGCUGAUCCACCUGAUACUCCACCAGCCACGUCCAGCCCCUCACCCCUUUUGACUUGAUCCUCAGCCUUCGCUCUCCUAGCUUGGUUCCCUGGGCCAUCCUUCAUAGUCCCCCCCUGCUCCUUCCACUGGAUUUCCUCGCCUGCUCCUCCCUUUUCCUAAC